AAUAAUGGCGUGAUGUAACGGGGGAGCCGUAAGGCUCGCCGGAUUUCUCUUUGACCGGUCUGUCAACCCUGUUACGUCUCGCCACCCU
rnacentral:antisense_RNA from 16 species